CCCGCCCCUUCCGCGCUGCCGCCAUGGCGGAGCCGCCGGGGCCCUUUUGCGUUCUGCGGGCCGGGCCGGGCCGGUACCUCUGCUACUGCUGCCCCGCGGCCGGCCCCGGCUCUGCCGGCACCGCCUAGUGAGUGCAGCGCCGGGCGGGGGAGCGGGCCGGGCCGGGCCGGGCCGGGGCGGCUCGAGCACAGCCUGAGCCGCUGCCCCCCGCAGUGUGACCGACGCGCUGGAGGUCUGGGCCGGGGAGCUCGGCGCCCUCCCGCCGCAGGGCCGCGCGCCGCAGGGCGGGACGUGCCUGCCGGAGGACGGCGUCGCGAAGCUCAGGGCAGCCCUGCGGCGCGGGGCCGUCUCCCUGAGCCUGCAGGAUGGCAGGGCCACGCUGCAGCUGCAAGGGGAGGCCGGGCACACAACCCUUCAUCUCUGCAAGCUUCCUGUUGCUGAGGCGAGGACCCAGCUCCAAGCGCUGAUGUUUGGCUUGGCGACUUGCGUCAAGAACCUAGAAGAACAUCUCGAAGGUCUGUGUGUGGUUGUGGAACAGGGCAACGGGAGAAAGGAGAUCAGCUUCCAUCCGCUGUCAUGGUAUCGUCUCUCUCCCACGUAGGGUUUCCCCCAAGUGAGCUGGUUCAGAGAGCCAAGUAAGAUGGCAUUUAGGAGGCUGUGUUUUCACGGUCUCAUCCCACAUGACAUCUCCUCAUGAGCUCUGGCUAGAUUGGCCAGGAGAGAUGCAAAUGUGUGGGCUGGGCAGCAGAGGUGCUACUUUCGUCUUCCUGCUCGGGCUGACCUGUUCCCAAAGCUGGCCAGGGCCUUCCCUGACCAUCUUGGGCAGAAGAGAUCCUGCGUGGGACUAAAAGCAGCAUUGUGACAGUGUGCAGGAGCACAACCUUGCCCUAAUGGCUGACACCACACCGUCAUUGCCUUACAGAGGCAAGUUUCCUUCACCAUGAGGGUGACAGAGCAUUGGAACAGGCUGCUCAGAGAGGCUGUGGAUUCUCCAUCUCUGGAGAUAUUCAGAACCCUACUGGAUGUGAUCCUGUGCAAUAUGCUUGGUGGGCACACUGGGGUCUUCCUGCAGCCCUGAGAAGAGUGCUGCCCAGAGCCAGCAGCUCUUCCUGCCAGACCCCAGCCCCAGGAAGAACAGGGGCACUGGCUCAGCUUUGGCAGCUAAGCGGAAGAUCCCAGGAGAGUCUCUCAUUAAUCCUGGUUUCAAAAGCAAGAAGGCACCAUCUGGAGUGGACUUUGAAGACUCAUGACCUGUGCUGUCACGUCCCCCCGAUGACAGCAUUUUCAACCAUGUGUGGCUGAUAGAGGAUUUACUGCCCCCUGGCCCUGCCAGGCUCCUUGCUGCAGGUGUGGCUCAUGGUCAACAAGGGCGAUGGAUGGGGCAAGCAGGACCCAGAGACCUGGAGGCAGUGCCUGGCAGGCCUGAGGGGGCAGCAGAUCCUCAGCUUGUGCUGUGGCAGGGCCUUGGGGAGAGGGGGGUAGACAGGGCAGGGGUGACAAAGCGGAGGCUUUUUUCCCUGCAGCUUCUCCCUGCUGAAAGGGGCCACCCCUUUACUCCACUUGCCAUUAAUUGGUGUUUUUUUAAAAAAUAACUUUGAAAGAUAUAUAUUUUUUUAAAGGUCGCCUGUGCUUAAGUUAUUGCCAGUAAAGCUGUUUUUAGCCAGCUGGUCUCUGGGGGCUUGUCCAGAG